rnacentral:rRNA from 1 species
AAUACCCUAUAUUGCCUUUUGUCACUAAGGCAAAAGGUGAAAGCGAGGCUGUCAAAGGCUUCGGCUCAAAGAGGGGUUCGCGUCCUAUCAGGUAGUUGGUGGGGUAAUGGCCUACCAAGCCAAUGACGGGUAGCUGGUCUUAGAGGAUGAUCAGCACAGUGGGACUGAGACACGGCCCGCACCCCUACGGGGGGCAGCAGUGGGGAAUCGUGGGCAAUGGGCGCAAGCCUGACCCCGCAAUGCCGCGUGAGGGAAGAAGCCCUUCGGGGUGUAAACCUCUGUCAGAUGGGAAGAUGAGACUAGGGGCUAAUACCUCCUGGUCUUGACGGUACCAUCAGAGGAAGGGACGGCUAACUACGUGCCAGCAGCCGCGGUAAUACGUAGGUCCCGAGCGUUGCGCGAUGUUACUGGGCGUAAAGCGUCCGUAGCUGGUUUCGUAAGCGGAUUGUCAAAGCCCGAAGCUCAACUUCGGCAAGGCAUUCCGAACUGCGUUACUUGAGUCCUGUUCAGGUAGGCGGAACUCCCGGUGUAGCGGUGAAAUGCGUAGAUAUCGGGAGGAACACCAGUGGCGAAGGCGGCCUACUGGGACGGUACUGACGGUCAUGGACGAAAGCUGGGGGAGCAAACCGGAUUAGAUACCCGGGUAGUCCCAGCCGUAAACGAUGGAUGUUAGGUGUAGUGAUAACUUCGCUGCACCCCAGCUAACGCGUUAAACAUCCCGCCUGGGGAGUACGGGCGCAAGCCUGAAACUCAAAGGAAUUGGCGGGGGCCCGCACAACCGGUGGAGCGUUUGGUUUAAUUCGAUGCUAACCGAAAAACCUUACCAGGGUUUGAAAUGGUAGGAAAGGCUGUCGAAAGAUAGCCGGGUUUCCCUUUUGGGAGAAAUCCUACCGCAGGUGGUGCAUGGCCGUCGUCAGCUCGUGUUGUGAGAUGUUGGGUUAAGUCCCGCGACGAGCGCAACCCUUGUCCUUAUUUGCUUCCUCUUAUGAGGUGCUCUAUAAGGAGACUGCCGGCGACAAGCCGGAGGAAGGAGGGGACGACGUCAGGUCAGUAUGCCCUUUAUGCUCUGGGCUACAC